UACGUAGGGGGCUAGCGUUGUCCGGAAUCAUUGGGCGUAAAGCGCGUGUAGGCGGUCCGGUAAGUCCGCUGUGAAAGUCGGGGGGCUCAACCCUCGGAUGCCGGUGGAUACUGUCGGGCUUGAGUACGGAAGAGGCGAGUGGAAUUCCUGGUGUAGCGGUGAAAUGCGCAGAUAUCAGGAGGAACACCAAUUGCGAAGGCAGCUCGCUGGGACGGUUACUGACGCUGGAGACGCGAAAGCGUGGGGAGCAAACAGG
rnacentral:rRNA from 1 species